rnacentral:rRNA from 1 species
UAAUGUAUGGGGAUCUGCCCGAUAGAGGGGGAUAACUACUGGAAACGGUGGCUAAUACCGCAUAAUGUCUACGGACCAAAGCAGGGGCUCUUCGGACCUUGCACUAUCGGAUGAACCCAUAUGGGAUUAGCUAGUGGUGGGGUAAAGGCUCACCUAGGCGACGAUCUCUAGCUGGUCUGAGAGGAUGAUCAGCCACACUGGGACUGAGACACGGCCCAG